rnacentral:rRNA from 1 species
UCCAGUUUAUCCUGCUGGAGAUUGCGGCUAUCUGGUUUGCAAUUAGACAUGCAAGUUUUUCUGCUUCUUUGAAGUGGAAAGCGGACUGCUCAGUAACACGUAGCUAACCUGCCCUAAUGCUUGUGAUAUCCUCGGGAAACUGAGGUUAAUAACGAAUAGAGGACUUCUACUGGAAUGUGUUGUUCUUGAAAUUUUGUGUUAGGAUGGGGCUGCGGCUGAUUAGGUUGUUGGCGGGGUAAUGGCCCACCAAGCCGUUGAUCAGUAGGGGCUCUUAGCGGAGAAGCCUCGAGAGGGAAUCUGAGACACUAUUCCCAGCCCUACGGGGUGCAGCAGUCGGGAAACUUCUGCAAUGUACGAAAGUAUGACAGAGCAAGCCAGAGUGCUUUUCCAUAUAGGAAAAGCUUUUGUGAGAUGUAAAAAGUCUCACGAAUAAGGACUGGGCAAGACUGGUGCCAGCCGCCGCGGUAAUACCAGCGGUCCAAGUCGCAAUCGCUUUUAUUGGGUCUAAAACAUCCGUAGCUCGCUACGCAAGUCUCUUGUGAAAUCCGGCCUCUCAAGGGUCGAAGAGCAAGAGAUACUACAUAGCUAGAGACCGGGAGACGUAAGAAGUACGGUCGGGGUAGCGGUAAAAUGCGUUGAUCCUGACUGGACUAACAAUAGCGAAGGCAUCUUACGAGAACGGAUCUGACAGUAAGGGAUGAAGGCUAGGGGCGCAAAACGGAUUAGAUACCCGUGUAGUCCUAGCAGUAAACACUGCACACUAAACAUCGGAGCCUCUUCGAGAGGUUUCGGUGCUGUAGGGAAGCCGUAGAGUGUGCUACCUGGGAAGUAUAGUCGCAAGGCCGAAACUUAAAGGAAUUGGCGGGGGAGUAAACAACGAGUGACGCGUGCGGUUCAAUUAGAUUCUACACCGUGAACCUCACCAGGACCGACAGCAGGAUGAAGGUCAGUCUGAAGGGCUUACCUGACACGCUGAGAGGAGAUGCAUGGCCGACGU